GGGAGCUCCUCGAGGGCAAGGCCUGGGAACAUCUGGAGUCAGUGAACACAGCAGGAAGGGGGGAUGGUCAAGCGCACCACAGGCUUGGAAGCAGACACGCCCAGUUCAAGCCCCACUCCAGCCCUCCUCAAGUGGGUCACUCCUCACGGCCUGUGAGUUCACCUCUUCAUCUGAGCUCGCUUCAGAUGACGCCCCCAGUGCCAGCAUAUCAUCCAAACGCCUACUUCCCACUUCUGGGAACUUCUCGCUCCCAGAUUCAGAAACUGUCCUGGGGCACCAGCAGUGACUUGAGCAGGGGAAGAGUGGGGCCAAGCCUGGCCUCCAGAAGCCAUCGGCCUCCAGAAGCCGUCAGCCUCCAGAAGCCGUCAGCCUCCAGUCCAGAGUGGCACAGCCAGCAAGCUUCACAGCGA
rnacentral:lncRNA from 10 species